AGCGAACGCUGGCGGCAGGCCUAACACAUGCAAGUCGAGCGCCGUAGCAAUACGGAGCGGCAGGCGGGAGAGUAACACGUGGGAACGUACCCAUUGGUUCGGAACAACCCAGGGAAACUUGGGCUAAUAGCGGAUACGCCCUCACGGGGAAAGCUUUAUCGCCGAAGGAUCGGCCCGCGUAUGAUUAGCUAGUGGGUGGGGUAACGGCCCACUAAGGCGACGAUCAGUAGCUGGUCUGAGAGGAUGAUCAGCCUCACUGGGACUGAGACACGGCCCAGACUCCUACGGGAGGCAGCAGGGGGGAAUAUUGGACAAUGGGCGCAAGCCUGAUCCAGCCAUGCCGCGUGAGUGAUGAAGGCCUUAGGGUUGUAAAGCUCUUUCAGUAGGGAAGAUAAUGACGGUACCUACAGAAGAAGCCCCGGCUAACUUCGUGCCAGCAGCCGCCGUAA
rnacentral:rRNA from 1 species